AUAAUGCACGUUACUCAGUUGCAUUGUGAGCUCUGAAAGCCAUUUAAUGAAGGUAGACAGGCUUCCAAGAAGGUGCGUUUUUUGACUAAUGUAGGUACUCCUGGAAAAAUCUUUCCCCAACACGGAAAGCAAGAAUUACUGGGCGAGUAGAAGAAGGAAUGCUAUUACCAUGUCUUGUCUCACUCAAUCAAAUCGAAUGGAAACAACCUCGGGUUAAAUGUGAUCGCUUCUAGUUUCUGGGGAUGGAACCCAAGCUGUCGUGGAUACCAGGGAAGCGCCGUAUAUUGAACUAGUCUGACACCAGCACCUCGAAUUGGGACUUGCCAGCCCUCAGCACCAUGAGAAACACAUUUCUGCUCUUCGUGCACCACCCCUGGGACUCCCUCCCCCAGCCGUGCUGCUUCAUCAUUACGUACUGGAAGUGACCACGUGUAGACCCAUGUGUAUGUCUCCGUUCUUGAAGGUCACUUCAAUUCUGGGAUUGAGCUUGCACUGGCUUUUAUACAACCCUUCCGUGUCUUCCCAACUUAAUGAAAGCAGAGCGUGUUCAUUUCCAGCUACGAGGAACAUAUGAAAUAAAAAUAAUAAUAUUCACCUUG